rnacentral:rRNA from 1 species
GAUGAACGCUGGCGGCGUGCUUAACACAUGCAAGUCGAACGGUGAAGCAGGAGCUUGCUCCUGUGGAUCAGUGGCGAACGGGUGAGUAACACGUGAGCAAUCUGCCCUAGACUCUGGGAUAAGCGUUGGAAACGACGUCUAAUACCGGAUACGAGGCGUGGGGGCAUCCCCAACGCCUGGAAAGAACUUCGGUCCAGGAUGAGCUCGCGGCCUAUCAGGUAGUUGGUGAGGUAACGGCUCACCAAGCCUACGACGGGUAGCCGGCCUGAGAGGGUGACCGGCCACACUGGGACUGAGACACGGCCCAGACUCAUACGGGAGGCAGCAGUGGGGAAUAUUGCACAAUGGGCGCAAGCCUGAUGCAGCAACGCCGCGUGAGGGACGACGGCCUUCGGGUUGUAAACCUCUUUUAGCAGGGAAGAAGCGAAAGUGACGGUACCUGCAGAAAAAGCACCGGCUAACUACGUGCCAGCCGCCGCCGUAAGAC